CUACGGGUGGCUCCAGUGGGGAAUAUUGCACAAUGGGCGCAAGCCUGAUGCAGCCAUGCCGCGUGUAUGAAGAAGGCCUUCGGGUUGUAAAGUACUUUCAGCGGGGAGGAAGGGAGUAAAGUUAAUACCUUUGCUCAUUGACGUUACCCGCAGAAGAAGCACCGGCUAACUCCGUGCCAGCAGUCGCGGUGAAUACGGAGGGUGCAAGCGUUAAUCGGAAUUACUGGGCGUAAAGCGCACGCAGGCGGUUUGUUAAGUCAGAUGUGAAAUCCCCGGGCUCAACCUGGGAACUGCAUCUGAUACUGGCAAGCUUGAGUCUCGUAGAGGGGGGUAGAAUUCCAGGUGUAGCGGUGAAAUGCGUAGAGAUCUGGAGGAGUACCGGUGGCGAAGGCGGCCCCCUGGACGAAGACUGACGCUCAGGUGCGAAAGCGUGGGGAGCAAACAGGAUUAGAUACCCGGGUAGUC
rnacentral:rRNA from 1 species